GGGGGGAAAUGGGGGAAACCCUGAUGCAGCAACGCCGCGUGAAGGAUGAAGGUUUUCGGAUUGUAAACUUCUUUAGUCGGGGACGAAUAAAUGACGGUACCAGAAGAAUAAGCCACGGCUAACUACGUGCCAGCAGCCGCGGUAAUACGUAGGUGGCGAGCGUUGUCCGGAAUUACUGGGUGUAAAGGGCGUGUAGGCGGGAAUGUAAGUCAGAUGUGAAAUCCCAGGGCUUCACCCUGGAGCUGCAUCUGAAACUAUGUUUCUUGAGUGUCGGAGAGGAAAGCGAAUUCCUUGUGUAGCGGUGAAAUGCGUAGAUAUUAGGGAGAACACCAGUGGCGAACGCGGCUUUCUGGACGAUAACUGACGCUGAGGCGGAAAAGCGUGGGGAGCAAACGAGAUUAGAUACCCUGGUAGUCCACGCUGUAAACGAUGGAUACUAGGUGUAGGAGGUAUCGACCCCUUCUGUGCCGGAGUUAACACAAUAAGUAUCCCACCUGGGGAGUACGGCCGCAAGGUUGAAC
rnacentral:rRNA from 1 species